rnacentral:tRNA from 1 species
GCCGUCGUAGCGCAAUGGUAGCGCGUCGCUUUCCUAAUUGAAAUAUCAAGGCGAAGGUUGCGAGUUCGAUCCUCGUCGUCGGUA